rnacentral:rRNA from 1 species
UACGUAGGGUGCGAGCGUUAAUCGGAAUUACUGGGCGUAAAGCGUGCGCAGGCGGCGGCUCAAGUCAGGUGUGAAAUCCCCGGGCUUAACCUGGGAAUUGCGCUUGAAACUAGGUCGCUAGAGUGUGGCAGAGGGGGGUGGAAUUCCACGUGUAGCAGUGAAAUGCGUAGAGAUGUGGAGGAACACCGAUGGCGAAGGCAGCCCCCCUGGGUCAACACUGACGCUCAUGCACGAAAGCGUGGGGAGCGAACAGG